rnacentral:misc_RNA from 1 species
GAUGCAGAACGCAGCGAAAUGCGAUAAGUAAUGUGAAUUGCAGCAUUCAGUGAAUCAUCGAAUCUUUGAACGCACCUUGCGCCCUUUGGCCAUUCCGAAGGGCAUGCCUGUUUGAGUAUCAUGAACACCUCAACUCUUUAUGGUUUUCCAUGAUGAGCUUGGACUCUGGGGGUUUUGCUGGCUCACAGUCGGCUCCUCUAAAAUGAAUCAGCUUACCAGUGUUUGGUGGGUAUCAUGGGUGUGAUAACUAUCUACGCUUGUGGUUUUUCCACCAGGUAACCUUCAGCAGUGGAGGUUCGCUGGAGCUCAUAGAUGUCUCUCCUCAGUGAGGACAGCCCUUUGAAUGUUUGAUCUCAAAUCAGGUAGGACUACCCGCUGAACUUAAGCAUAUCAAUAAGCGGAGGA